UAGCAUGUGGAAGUCACUCCCGUUCUCGAUAGGUGGUGCGACAGAGUGACAGAAACCGGAGUCGAAUAAGACCGUAUUCAAUCGGAACGUAACGUUCUUAGUCGCAAGAAAAGAUAACGAUUAGAUUGGAUCAAGAAAGAUUAGGCCCUCUGCCAUCUGUCGACGGCAUACUGCAAUUGCGACCGCAAGGACGUCGCCGAGGAGAUUUGUCCUGUUGCGGCCGAACUAGAACACGUGACCGCGUUGACGAAGAUAAUGGACGCCAUGAUGGUGGACGAUAUCGCACCCCUUUGACCAAUAGUACGUUCACCAAAGCCCUAACCGAGAGGUUGUUGCAGUUAGAGUCCGAUUACUUGGAACUGUCCAACCAGAGGAGAUGAAGAACAAAUUGAGAGCAAUCGACCAAUGCUAUGAAGAAAUGAUAAAACUAAUUAUUAUUUAGCGCUAGGGCUAAAAGAAGCAACAAAUGAAAGAAAAGGGGUAACACCAGUUGCGAUGGAGCAGGUAAUAAGCUGAAGAAGAUCAUCGCAUACUAUUUUCAUCUGUAUUGCUAUUUAGUUACACGUGUAAGGAAAUAAUAUUUAAUAUAACUAAUUUCAUUAUCGUUAUAUUGGACUACUUAUAAAUUAAUAAAUCCAGAUCGGACUUUUUAAUUAACAAAAUUUGACUAUUCAUUCAUUUCUCCGGAAAGGAACCAGUCGUGAAUAUUUUACUUAGGACAAUGGUUAAUUUUUUAUUCGAAAUAUUCUGUUCUUCUCUUACAUUUAAAAUAGAUACUUUCUUCAUAUUUUUGCAAGAGAAAUGCAAUUCGCGUUUCAAACGAUCACGUCACGCUGCAAUCGCAUUGGCAAUCGUACGAGGAUUUGUUUUGCAUUUGAAACUGGAUAAGGAUCACCAGAUACGUUAUCACCGAACUAACCACCUGAAAACGGAAAAUAUUGAGGGACAAUCCGCGAUCUACAAUGAAGCACAAUGAUCGAUCGAUCAGGUUUCCUCACCGAUUGGAACAACGUGUUGUCCAGGUUACAGUAAUCGCUAGCGGUGAACUUAAUUUGUCGAUGGAGCAACUGUAGCGAGAAUUGCUUGAGCUGGAAGAAACAUGACUGUUUGGUAAACGGUCCGGUAAGGCGAUCGACGGUGUUUAUACUAUUUUACCUCUGCCUUUGUCUUUCGAUCGAUCGUGUUUUGCAACAACGAGUGCACGAUGACCCCGGUCCGUUCGAUCUGCAAAGGAAAUCUCAAAUCACGUCCUAAAUCCGGACAAUCGAAUCAGUCAUUGGCCUACAAAAUCCAAAUGUUCAUAAUCAAAUUUUACAUUGCAGCAGCAGAAAUUGGAAAACUCUAGGCGAGUUUGUCAGAGAACCGAAGGCACCGUUUUGUGGUUGACAGGGUUUUAAAACUAUUUCACUCGAAGCUAAACGAGCUUAUUUUUACCAUCGGAAGCUUAUUUUUACCUCGUUCAAUAUCUCGGUGACCUUGGCGGUCAGUAAACUUAGGGGAUAUAUGAAGUAGACGAUAAAGAGGGCGCCGUUGAUGACGGAGAAGAGUUCAAAGUCCAUGUCGUCGCCGGAUAGAGGCUGCAGAAUGUAGUACGCGUUGAACAGCAGCGAAUAAAAGAUAAAGAUGACGACGAGCAGGGUCGGGAACGAAUAAAACCGAGAGACCUCGUCGGCAACCUCGCACAGGUCGUCAUAAAUGUUUCUCAGGUACCGAAGAGACUGGAUCACGGAACAGUUGACGAAGACCCGGCGACAUCGAUUCAAAGACUUCAAAUCGGUGCUGGAGCUUCUGCAGAUGCCCUGGAGAGCCUCGUUAACUCUAGUAAAGUUUAUGUUCAUUAGGCUGAUCACCAAGAAGUAUUGAAACAAGGUAUUGAUCGCGAAGGCCGAGGGCAAGAUGUCCAUGGCCCAUCCGAGAGGACCGUUGAAGAAGGCCAGCUCCUCGGUGACCACGAGACCUACGCACAUGAUCGUCUGAACGAUGUAGAUCGCUGAUAGGUUCCAAAUGGCGCGAUACAUGUUGAUCGGUUCCCGUGAGAAGAUCUGCAUCCGUCCUCCGAUUUGCACCAGAUAAUUGGAAAUCUUCUUUAGGAUGUACCAUCUGAAGACGUAGCACAAUAAGAUUGUAAUAAUUAUCACGUUCCCUAACGUUGCUUGCCCCAUCUCAAUGAUUGCCAUUAUAAUGGAUUUAUUUGCGUAUGGCGUAUUGUACAGCCUCGGCAGAGUGAUGAAGCUCGAUGCUAUGAGCAAGAUGCUGAGAAACGCAUUGUAGAAUAUCCCGGAUUUGCUUCGUCCGAAGGAUAUCGUGCGCGUGUUUUUCAAGCUCCUAUCGUGUAAGGAUAUAGGCGCCAGACCAAUUAUCUUGAAAAUUAUGUGACACCAUAGUAUUGCUCGAUAUUUUAAACAGACUAGUUUACUGGGCAAUGUCUGCAGCAUUUCUUUUUCAAAUUGCAAUUGGUUGGAAUGAAAAAAAGGGAAACUUUUAAUUUUGUUAUCGGAGUUUGUAAUGAAAAUUUGAACAAUGCGUAAUAAAUUACAAUUAUAAAUAUUUUUAUUAUUUUGUACAACCUGCUUUUGCUAAUUUAUCAGCCAUUACGUUUCCAUGAAUUCUACUAUGCCUAUUAACAUGUUCCUGUAAUAUUGUUUCAUAAAUAUGAAUGUAUUCAUAAAUAUAUAAUAUAUAAUGUAUGCAUAAAUUAACUAUGAUAUUGCUCAUACCCAAGCUAUUUUUAAUGAGCUCAGUGCCUUCUCCAUUUCUAUUAAUUCGUCUUUAUUUGUAACUGGAUUAUCACUCACAGUUUUCCAUCCAUUUUUCUUCCAUUUUGGCAUCCAUUCAGUUAUGCAUUGGAUCAAGAAUUUCGAGUCCGUAAUAAUCUUUAGUUUCUCUACACCUACUUCUUUUGCUUUUCUCGCAGCCAUGGUCACAGCCUGAAUCUCUGCAUUAAUAUUAGUUAUUCUACCAACAACUCGUUCUGAUACAUUUCUGUAAUUGCAAUAAAAUAAAGUGUCUGAAAAUUAAA